AGGGUUUGAUCCUGGCUCAGAUUGAACGCUGGUGGUAUGCUUAACACAUGCAAGUCGAACGGUAACAUUGGAGCUUGCUCCAGAUGACGAGUGGCGGACGGGUGAGUAACGCGUAGGAAUCUGCCUAGUAGUGGGGGACAACAUGUGGAAACGCAUGCUAAUACCGCAUACGCCCUACGGGGGAAAGCGGGGGAUCUUCGGACCUCGCGCUAUUAGAUGAGCCUGCGUUAGAUUAGCUUGUUGGUGGGGUAAUGGCCUACCAAGGCGACGAUCUAUAGCUGGUCUGAGAGGACGAUCAGCCACACUGGGACUGAGACACGGCCCAGACUCCUACGGGAGGCAGCAGUGGGGAAUAUUGGACAAUGGGCGCAAGCCUGAUCCAGCAAUACCACGUGUGUGAAGAAGGCCUGAGGGUUGUAAAGCACUUUCAAUUGGGAGGAAAACAGCUGGGUUAAUAGCCCUGCUCUUGACAUUACCUUUAGAAGAAGCACCGGCUAACUCCGUGCCAGCAGCCGCGGUAAUACGGAGGGUGCGAGCGUUAAUCGGAAUUACUGGGCGUAAAGCGUACGUAGGCGGUUAUUUAAGUCAGAUGUGAAAGCCCCGGGCUCAACCUGGGAACUGCAUUUGAAACUGGAUAACUAGAGUUUGAUAGAGGA
rnacentral:rRNA from 1 species